UACGUAGGGUGCGAGCGUUAAUCGGAAUUACUGGGCGUAAAGCGUGCGCAGGCGGUUCGAUAAGUCUGAUGUGAAAUCCCCGGGCUCAACCUGGGAACUGCGUUGGAAACUGUCGAGCUAGAGUGUAGAAGAGGGGGGUAGAAUUCCACGUGUAGCAGUGAAAUGCGUAGAGAUGUGGAGGAAUACCGAUGGCGAAGGCAGCCCCCUGGGCUAACACUGACGCUCAUGCACGAAAGCGUGGGGAGCAAACAGGAUUAGAUACCCUGGUAGUCCACGCCCUAAACGAUGUCUACUAGUUGUUGGUGGAGUAAAAUCCAUUAGUAACGCAGCUAACGCGUGAAGUAGACCGCCUGGGGAGUACGGUCGCAAGAUUAAA
rnacentral:rRNA from 1 species